rnacentral:rRNA from 1 species
UACGAAGGGUGCAAACGUUGCUCGGAAUUAUUGGGCGUAAAGCGCGCGUAGGCGGCUUGGCAAGUCGGAUGUGAAAUCCCUCGGCUCAACCAAGGAAGUGCAUCCGAAACUGCUGAGCUUGAGUACUUAAGAGGAUCGCGGAAUUCCCGGUGUAGCGGUGAAAUGCGUAGAGAUUGGGAAGAACAUCCGUGGCGAAAGCGCUCUGCUGGACUGCAACUGACAUUGAGGGACGAAAGCUAGGGGAGCGAAUGGG